AUUGAACGCUGGCGGAAUGCUUUACACAUGCAAGUCGAACGGCAGCACGGACUUCGGUCUGGUGGCGAGUGGCGAACGGGUGAGUAAUGUAUCGGAACGUGCCCAGUCGUGGGGGAUAACGUAGUGAAAAUUACGCUAAUACCGCAUACGAUCUAUGGAUGAAAGCGGGGGAUUGCAAGACCUCGCGCGAUUGGAGCGGCCGAUAUCAGAUUAGGUAGUUGGUGGGGUAAAGGCCCACCAAGCCAACGAUCUGUAGCUGGUCUGAGAGGACGAGCAGACACACUGGAACUGAGACACGGUCCAGACUCCGACGGGAGGCAGCAGUGGGGAAUUUUGGACAAUGGGCGAAAGCCUGGUCCAGCCAUUCCGCGUGCAGGAUGAAGGCCCUCGGGUUGUAAACUGCUUUUGUACAGAACGAAAAGGUUUCUACUAAUACUAGGAGCUCAUGACGGUACUGUAAGAAUAAGCACCGGCUAACUACGCGCCAGCCGCCGCCGUAA
rnacentral:rRNA from 1 species